rnacentral:rRNA from 1 species
CAGUCGCCGCGGUAAUACAGAGGGUGCAAGCGUUAAUCGGAAUUACUGGGCGUAAAGCGUGCGCAGGCGGUUAUAUAAGACAGAUGUGAAAUCCCCGGGCUUAACCUGGGAACUGCAUUUGUGACUGUAUAGCUAGAGUACGGCAGAGGGGGAUGGAAUUCCGCGUGUAGCAGUGAAAUGCGUAGAUAUGCGGAGGAACACCGAUGGCGAAGGCAAUCCCCUGGGCCUGUACUGACGCUCAUGCACGAAAGCGUGGGGAGCAAACAGGAUUAGAUACCCGAGUAGUCCCUGUCUCUUAUAC